UUUUCCCUGCGUUGUGCGUGAUGGUGCAGGUUAAAUUGAGCCGAUACCUGUAUCUUAAAGGGAAUCUGUCUCUGUUUAUCUCAGAGAAACACUUACGAGUGGAUUAACUCCGCUACGAAGUCCUCUAAGACUAAACAGGCGGACAACCGUACUUCUUCAGUGGGUUCAAUUUCAUCUUUACACGGCAACUGCGGGGUUCAA
rnacentral:other from 1 species